UACGAAGGGGGCUAGCGUUGCUCGGAAUCACUGGGCGUAAAGGGUGCGUAGGCGGGUCUUUAAGUCAGGGGUGAAAUCCUGGAGCUCAACUCCAGAACUGCCUUUGAUACUGAGGAUCUUGAGUUCGGGAGAGGUGAGUGGAACUGCGAGUGUAGAGGUGAAAUUCGUAGAUAUUCGCAAGAACACCAGUGGCGAAAGGCGGCUCACUGGCCCCGAUACUGACGCUGAGGCACGAAAAGCGUGGGGGAGCAAACAGG
rnacentral:rRNA from 1 species